rnacentral:rRNA from 1 species
CGAAGGAUGCAAGCGUUAUCCGGAUUCAUUGGGUUUAAAGGGUGCGUAGGCGGACCUGUAAGUCAGUGGUGAAAUCUCUUUGCCUAACAAAGAAACUGCCAUUGAUACUGCAAGUCUAGAGUAUAGAUGACGUUGGCGGAAUAUGACAUGUAGUGGUGAAAUACUUAGAUAUGUCAUAGAACACCGAUUGCGAAGGCAGCUAACGAAACUAUAACUGACGCUGAGGCACGAAAGUGCGGGGAUCAAACAGGAUUAGAUACCCUGGUAGUCCGCACCGUAAACGAUGAUUACUCGUUGUUGGCAAUAUGACCGUCAGCGACCAAGCGAAAGCGAUAAGUAAUCCACCUGGGGAGUACGCCGGCAACGGUG